UACGUAGGGUGCAAGCGUUAAUCGGAAUUACUGGGCGUAAAGCGUGCGCAGGCGGUUAUGCAAGACAGAUGUGAAAUCCCCGGGCUCAACCUGGGAACUGCAUUCGUGACUGCAAGGCUAGAGUGUGUCAGAGGGAGGUGGAAUUCCGCGUGUAGCAGUGAAAUGCGUAGAGAUGCGGAGGAACACCGAUGGCGAAGGCAAUCCCCUGGGCCUGCACUGACGCUCAUGCACGAAAGCGUGGGGAGCAAACAGG
rnacentral:rRNA from 1 species